AAAAAUAUACAUUUAAUUAGAGAAGAAAAACAAAUCCUUCUCCAGAAUACUAUGUUAAAAAAAAUGUGACUGCUAAUAAUGCAAACAUUUUGUACUUUUUUUUGUUUGUCUGAGACUGGAUCUUGCUCUGUUUCCCAGGCAGGAGACAGCGGCACACUCACAGCUCACUGCAGCCUCAACCUCCUGGGCUCAAGCCAUCCUCCCACUUCAGGUUUUCUAGUGGCUGGGACUACAGGUGCACACCACCACACUCAGUCAGCAAGACCACAAACCCACCAGAAGGAAGACACUCUGGACACAUCUGAACAUCUGAAGGAACAAACUCCAGGACACACCAUCUUUAAGAACUGUAACAGUCACCGUGAGGGCCCACAGCUUCAUUCUUGAAGUCAGUGAGACCAAGAACCCACGGAAAGGAACCAAUUCUGGACACAUUUUGGCAACCACGAAGGGACAAUUGACUAUAGCCAAGCGGUGAGUACCAUCGGACCCCUUUCACUUGCUAUUCUGUCAUAUUUUUCCUUAAAAUUCAGGGGCUAAAUACUCGGCACCUGUCGACCAGUUAAAAGUAACUAGCGCAGCCAACAGACUAAAGACAUGGGUGUCAGGCUUUCUGGGAAAGGGCUCUCUAACAACAACUGACUCUUCAGAGUUGGGAGCAUUAGUUUGCCUGUAACCAGCUUCCACUUUUCCUGUACUUCUGGGCUGAGCCGAGGGUCGACAGGAAUGCCAUUCAGCUCUGGGGUCCCUACAACAAGUUGGUUGACCCUGCGGCCAUGAAGUCAUGUCGCCCAAAUGAGACUCGCCCAUCUAUCCUAUCUAUCCUGACCCUUGUCUCCUGGGUCCUAAUGCUUGUCAGACAAACUUUCUCUUGCCUCUCUUCUCCGAGGCUAGUCCUGCUUCUAAAAACCACUCCCUGUCUCUGGCACUUUUUAGUUUCUCUUAUAAGAAUGAUUUCUAGUAUAAACUUCAGGACUUUGUUACCUUCUUUAGGCACCCGGGCUCACCAGUCAGAAAGACAUAAUUUUUGCCCAAAGCCCUGUCAUAGGGGAGACUAUCUGGAAUUUUAGGAUUCCUCCUCAGACAAGCAGGCGUAACAAAAACUAUUCCUGAAGCUAGGAUAUGGGGAGCCUCAGAAAUUGUAUCCUUCCUAUAAGUGAGGACAAAAGGUAUCACUCUUCCAACCCUGGAGAUCCCUUCCCUCCCUCAGGGUAUGGCCUCCACUUCAUUUUUGGGGCAUAACAUCUUUAUAGGACAGGGGUAAAGUCCCAAUACUAACAGGAGAACACUUAGGACUCUAACAGGUUUUUGAGAAUGUGUUGGUAAGGGCCACUAAAUCUGACCUUUCUCGGUCCUCCUUGUGGUCUGGGGGAAAACUAGUGUUUCUGCUGCUGUGUCAAUGAGCACAACUAUUCUGAUCAACAGGGUCCAAGGACCAUUGCGGGUUCUUGGACAGGGGUUUUUUCUGCUGCUGUGUCAGUGAGCGCAACUAUUCUGAUCAAUAGGAUCCAGGGACCAUUGCGGAUUCUUGGGUAUGGAGUGUUUCUACUGCUGUAUCAGUGAGUGCAGCUAUUCCGAUCAGCAGGGUCCAGGUAUCGUUGCAGGUUCUUCGGCAGGGGGAGAAACAAAACAAAUCAAAACCAUGGGUGGUUUUGUCUUUCAGAUGGGAAACACUCAGGCAUCAACAGGCUCACCCUUGAAAUGCAUCCUAAGCCACUGGGACGAAUUUGACCUGCAUACCCUGAAAAAGAGG
rnacentral:lncRNA from 1 species